AUUGAACGCUGGCGGCAGGCCUAACACAUGCAAGUCGAACGAGUGGCGGACGGGGGAGUAAUGUGUGGGAAACUGCCUGAUGGAGGGGGAUAACUGCUGGAAACGGUAGCUAAUACCGCAUACCAUCAGAUGGGCGCAGAUGGGAUUAGCUAGUGGGUGGGGUAACGGCUCACCAAGGCGACGAUCCCUAGCUGGUCUGAGAGGAUGACCAGCCACACUGGAACUGAGACACGGCCCAGACUCCUACGGGAGGCAGCAGUGGGGAAUAUUGCGCAAUGGGCGCAAGCCUGAUUGAGCAAUGCCGCGUGUAUGAAGAAGGCCUUCGGGUUGUAAAGUUCUUUCAGCGGGGAGGCGUUACCCACAGAGGAAGCACCGGCUAACUCCGUGCCAGCAGCCGCGGUAAUAC
rnacentral:rRNA from 1 species